UCUUAGAGUAGGAGACAAAGCAGAGUUCGGCCUUCAUUAAUUUCAAAGAAGGAGCUGUGGAUGGAGGAAGAGAACUCUCUCUGUUCCUAACUGGGUCUUUAUGUCGUUUUAUGGAACUCCUUAGUUCUUAUAUGUAGAAGUAUACGAUGAUUCCGUAGAAGAUAUUGAUGAAUUUAUGUAUAGAGACAUUGAUUAAUAAGAUCAGAAAUAAUCACAAUUGACUGACAUUAAGAGGCACUUGCACAAUUAACGAUCCUUCCAUUAAAGGAGAUGAGAUCCAAAGAGUGAAGCACUUUUUCAGUCAAGUCCAAGAGAUUUCCCGUUAAGAGUCGAGAUCAGCAAGCAUAUGCAUUGGAUAUUCCUAUCAACGGGAAGGAUGGAUGGAUAUGGAUCCAUAUAUCCGAUUAUUACGUAGGAAUCCAUCCAAAUGACCAUAGUUCUAACUCCUCACUUUUCUUACCUCUCUCCUUCUGCUGACUGCUGUACUAAUGGAAUUCAAAGUCGUACCUACUAGCGUCUAUAGGUUUUGUGAGUCAAAAAGAAGUUAUUAAGGUGGGUUCAAUGAAGUGCAUACCAAGGACGCUCUUAAUUCAUCAUAAUUCAUAAAUCAUAGCCCAUAGGGACUACUGCUAUCUUAGAAUAAGCAACGAACGCCGGUACCAGAAGGUGGCCUAGAAAUUUAGCUUGUUUCUUUUGUUAUUGGUAAAAAGUAUUAACUAAAAUGCUUAUUUAUCUUGAUGAGGUGAUCGAAUCAUCGCUGCUUCAAAGAAUGUGUUCCCCUGGAUGACGGCACUCCCAAGAACCCUUGCACCAGUUUUCACAGAUUUCCAUGCUUCAAUGUGGCCCAAAUCAAGAGCUCCAAUCAAAGUGGGAAAAAGCCAUUUCAGGAUCAAAAGUUAACAAAAAAAGCCAAGUCACAAUUUAGAAAAUAACUAAAAGUACUGCAGCCUCCAUUUCACAGAUGAUGACUUCAUCACCAAGUCGGUCGACAAGCAAUAUGGCCAUGGGUACCAACUAUACGUAGAUCUAAAACAAAGGGGUUUAAAGAUGACACUGUUCUGUCAGUGUGGACAAUCUUCCGUCGUACCUCUCCUCCCCUCCAGCAAUCCUAGACCUACCAGAGCAGUAUCAGUCAGUCAAAGGUUCCAACUCGACUAUGAACGUUAAAAUGCCUUUGGGAUUGAGAUGUUCAUGAAAGAAGGCGUUGAAACAACUCAGGAGGUAUAUAAGAAGUUAUCUCAGGGGACAGUCCCCUCAAAAAUUAUCCUUAGUCAAGCCUGAAGCAACAAGGGCCUUGAAAUAGAAGAUGCCCUCACCUUCAAAGCUUUUAAAGAUCAUCACAGGAUUAAAAAAAGUGCAAUUUCCCACUGUCUAAUCACAAAAUCACAGGGGAAGAUUAAAUCUCUUACGGAAGUAAUCAACAUAACUGCAUAUAUUGGAUGAAGGAGGAAUUGAAGAACAAUGAGGCAUAUGAAGUCAUCAUGACCUUCUUGCGUAGACUAUUCCAAUAUUCAGACUUGGAGCCAGUUCAAUUAUCAAAGCUAUCUUUUAUCACGGAGCAGAUGACGCUACUCUUAAGAGCCCAAAGCUAGGAGAUACUUACCAGGUCUUCUCUGUGUUCGUCUCCUAUGGCAAAACGUAAGCACAGCCUUCUAUAACAAAAUCUAUUUGUUAAAUGUCAAGUGUAGUGACUAAAGAGACUGGAUUGCCUGUUUCAACUGUUAAAUAUCUCUGAGCAAGGAUAAAAGACCUGGAUAGCAGAGAACUCAAUAUUACUCUCAUGAUUGAUGAAGUGUACUCAGCACAAAGAGUUGAGUUUGUGAGAGGCAAGUUCCUUGGUUGUAAGGACAAUCAAACUACCAAAACAGUUUUCACAUUCAUGAUCAAGUCUGCUGGAGGAAAGUAUAUGAAUGUGGUUUCACUCGUCCCACUGGCAAAAAUGAAUGCAGAAUUUAUAUAUAAUCAAUACACUCCCAUCAUGAAGACUCUUUAUUAAAUCAGAUUCAUUGAUGUUGCUGUAUCGGUUGACAACCACCCAGCUAAAAAGAAUUCCAAACUAAGCUCCUUUGUUGUGGUAAGUUCCAAACCUCAAUACCUCACCCACACAACAGCACUAGGAAGGGUUAUCUCCUCUUCAACAUAAAGUGAAUUAUAUUUACUAUGCUGUUUCACAUGAUUUUUAUUUUGAAUUCUUACUUAUUGUCUAUUUGAAGUAUGCCUUAUUUUAAUAGUUCCUAUUAAAUAAAUUUAUCUUUGUUAAUGAAAAAAA
rnacentral:lncRNA from 1 species